rnacentral:rRNA from 1 species
GACGAACGCUGGCGGCGUGCCUAAUACAUGCAAGUCGAACGCUUCUUUCCUCUCGAGUGCUUGCACUCCAUUGGAAAGAGGAGUGGCGGACGGGUGAGUAACACGUGGGUAACCUACCCAUCAGAGGGGGAUAACACUUGGAAACAGGUGCUAAUACCGCAUAACAGUUUAUGCCGCAUGGCAUAAGAGUGAAAGGCGCUUUCGGGUGUCGCUGAUGGAUGGACCCGCGGUGCAUUAGCUAGUUGGUGAGGUAACGGCUCACCAAGGCCACGAUGCAUAGCCGACCUGAGAGGGUGAUCGGCCACACUGGGACUGAGACACGGCCCAGACUCCUACGGGAGGCAGCAGUAGGGAAUCUUCGGCAAUGGACGAAAGUCUGACCGAGCAACGCCGCGUGAGUGAAGAAGGUUUUCGGAUCGUAAAACUCUGUUGUUAGAGAAGAACAAGGACGUUAGUAACUGAACGUCCCCUGACGGUAUCUAACCAGAAAGCCACGGCUAACUACGUG